UACGUAGGCGGAAAAUUAAGUCAGUAGUGAAAUCCUGCAGCUUAACUGUAGAACUGUUAUUGAUACUGGUUUUCUUGAAUAUAGUUGAGGUAGGCGGAACGUGUAAUGUAGCGGUGAAAUGCUUAGAUAUUACACAGAACACCGAUUGCGAAGGCAGCUUACUAAGCUAUGAUUGACGCUGAGGUACGAAAGCGUGGGGAGCGAACAGGAUUAGAUACCCUGGUAGUC
rnacentral:rRNA from 1 species